CUCGGAGAUGCUCCUGCUCCGCCAUGGCCAUGGAGCUUCCUCCCAAUCCAAGGUCUUGGACUGGACGGGGAUGGCUGCCCUUCCAAAGUCUCGUCUCUUCUCUUCCGAUCCAUCCAUCCCACACCCCAUUCUAUUUGCAUAUCUGUAGAUACAUAUUCAGAUCAAACUGAACCCCAAACCAUGGGCACUACUUCAAGAAAUAUAGUCCAGUAGGACCACGGAGGUGUGUCCUGGUAGAGUGAAAAAAUAUCCUCUGCCUUAUGCCCUAUGUGUUAGUUAUUUACAUACGUACGAGGGAUCUCUGAUUCAGACCCUAGAUUCCAUAGAUGAUGUUAAUAUGAUUCAGUCUCUCCAGCUUUUUUAUGUCAACUAGGAAAGUCUGCAGUCAUUUGAAAAGCUAAUCUUGAUAACCAUGUAUUAUCUCAUCAUACUCUUCCUUUAAAGGGAUAGAUAGUGCCUUUUACAGUAUAUUCUCCUGGAUAGUUCUGUGCUAUUUCUAACAUUUGAAUAUGGUAGAUUGACCUCUGAAUCAAAUUAAGGUUUCUAGACCCUUUCGCAGAGUUAUGCCAUCAUCCAUCUGUAUGUUUAUAUAUGUUGCCAUGUUGCGACAAGUUAGUAAUUUGACGAAAUCACCCCACUGUUCCAUUAGUUACUGCCUAAGAGAUUUUUGCUUUCUACCAUCUGAACCUGACUAGAAAUAAUUAUUUUCGAAGUUGGCCCUUUGCUGGAGUUUGAUAGCAUAUUACAUUAAUCAUUUACAAUUUAUUUGACUCAUGGAGAGAAUAUGAUCCUGUUAUUCACCUGAAUAUCAUUCAUACCAGCUGAUAUUACGACAGUGUAUUCAAUCAUCAUGGCUGAUUUCCUUUCCCCUUAGCAAUUGCUUAAACAGAACAACUGAACAAGACUGACUUUAUUUGAUGCAUUAUAUACAUAUAUACAUACCUCUAAAACCAAGCAUGUUGAGACUUUUUAAAUAUACACAAGAAAAUGCGCUGUGGGCAUUGCGGCGUCUAGCUCAGAAAGUUUCAUGGCGGCAACUUUUGCCGAAGAUAAACCAACAAUUUAGUAGUCAAGGAACCAUCCUUUUUCCUUAUGCAUGGAAGAAAAAGAUCAUCUUUAGCUGUACUGCACUAUUUGGGUGCACACUCAGUACAAUAUCUUUAGCUUCUUUAAUAUGUUCAGGAUGGUACUUGCUUUCGUUUAUGUUUGUGUCAUCAUUUCUUACAAUCUAAUACCGAGUAAUACAAUAUUUCUUGUAUGAUUUGGACUGUAGAAGUUGGUGUACAGAAGAAGAAAGGGCGAGGUGUACAGAAGAAGAAAAGGUUUUGAAGCAUUUAAGAAGUGUUUUGCCAAUGGAUCUGCAAAGCUAAAUAUUACAUUCUCUGAAAAUUUGGGUGGUAUAGUAGGAAUGAACUAUCGUUCAUUCAAGGAUGACGUGGUAGUCAUAAUGAAAAGAAAGUUACCACUCAUUGGAGUGAGGACGUGGUCGGGCAUUCACCCUACCAUCCAUUGACUCAUUGUUGCAGAUAUGAUAGACAGAUGGGACUUGGAAGAUACACCAGAAACAGAAGAAAAAGUUCUCAAAAUUGUGAAAGAGCGAUAUAGAGGCUGGUGAUCAACUCUAUGGUCCUCUUACAAGGCAUACAAAACAGAUGCAACUAGAUUGACUAAUCUGCCGGAAGAUUUACAACCAGAAGAGUGGGAAUGGAUGAUUGAGUACUUUGGCAUGGAUUCAAAAUUUCAGGAACACAGCCGAAAGAACAUCGAUAACCGUAAGAAACAGAAGUCAAAAUACAGAAUUGGAUCCAAAUCUUACUCGCAAGUAAGUUUUGAGAAGGUAUGAGUCCCCAACUAAAUAUUGGAAGAGGAGCGAACAUCAAGACUGGAAUUCGAAAAGAACAUGAUGGCAAAGUUUGCAGAAUGGAGCCAACAGAUGGGAACCCAACAGGUGCCUACGAAGAGGGUUGACAGUAAAGAAAAUAGUAAUCCAAACUUGCAAAAUAUUCUGUUACAGAGAUCUAGUCCUAAUAAGACUUCAGGUUCAAGGCGUACUGCUAUUUCUUCAAAUGCGCUCAUACAAGCUGCAGCAAGGAAUUCCCGAAUGUUUAAAGCAAUGGAUCCAAAGAACUAGCUGGACUGGACUCUAGAUCACGGACAUUCUAGUCUUCACAGUUAAUUAGGAUGGCGAAAUUACAUUUGAGUUUCAUUUGAUGGAUAUUUGCUAUGAGAAUUAUGAAUUUUAUGAAUUUACAUAUUAUACGUAUGGUUUUGAAUAUUGUAAUUGAAAGCCUGUAUUUUUUUUACGGUUGCAAUAGGCUAUUACCACAACCCACUUUCGGUUGCCACAUGCUAGCACCUCUGCAAAUAUAUUGUUGCGUCAUAUCUUUGUUGCUACGCCUACCUGUUCUGUUGCACUAGGAUGUUGCAACAGAGCACGUUAUAUUGUCGCAAUAGCUUGUCACCACAAUUUUUUUCACGACGUGAUAACUAUUUCGCCACCAAAGCA